rnacentral:rRNA from 1 species
GACGAACGCUGGCGGCGUGCUUAACACAUGCAAGUCGAACGGUGAACCUCUUCGGAGGGGAUCAGUGGCGAACGGGUGAGUAACACGUGGGCAACCUGCCCCCGGCUCUGGGAUAACUCCAAGAAAUUGGGGCUAAUACCGGAUGUUCACCGCUUCCCGCAUGGGUGGUGGUGGAAAGGGUUUCCGGCGGGGGAUGGGCCCGCGGCCUAUCAGCGUGUUGGUGGGGUAGUGGCCUACCAAGGCGACGACGGGUAGCCGGCCUGAGAGGGUGACCGGCCACACUGGGACUGAGACACGGCCCAGACUCCUACGGGAGGCAGCAGUGGGGAAUAUUGCGCAAUGGGCGGAAGCCUGACGCAGCGACGCCGCGUGGGGGAUGACGGCCUUCGGGUUGUAAACCUCUUUCAGCAGGGACGAAGCGCAAGUGACGGUACCUGCAGAAGAAGCACCGGCCAACUACGUG